AGAGUUUGAUCAUGGCUCAGGACGAACGCUGGCGGCGUGCUUAACACAUGCAAGUCGAGGGCGGNNNGAAUCCCUGACCGGCGAACGGGUGCGUAACACGUGAGCGACCUGCCCGCUUGUGGGGGAUAGCCGGCCCAACGGCCGGGUAAUACCGCAUACGCUCUCUGGGGGGCAUACCCUGGGGAGGAAAGCUUCAGUGCAGGCGGAGGGGCUCGCGGCCUAUCAGCUCGUUGGCGGGGUAACGGCCCACCAAGGCGACGACGGGUAGCUGGUCUGAGAGGAUGGCCAGCCACAUUGGGACUGAGAGACGGCCCAGACUCCUACGGGAGGCAGCAGUGGGGAAUCUUGCGCAAUGGCCGCAAGGCUGACGCAGCGACGCCGCGUGGGGGAGGAAGGGCUUCGGCUCGUAAACCCCUGUUGCCCGGGACGAACAUCAGGGUUUGCCCUGACUGACGGUACCGGGUGAGGAAGCACCGGCUAACUCCGUGCCAGCAGCCGCGGUAAUACGGAGGGUGCGAGCGUUGUCCGGAAUCACUGGGCGUAAAGGGCGCGUAGGCGGUUUCUCAAGCGCGUGGUGAAAGCCCGGGGCUCAACCCCGGGUCGGCCAUGCGAACUGGGAGACUCGAGCACUGUAGAGGCGGGUGGAAUUCCGGGUGUAGCGGUGGAAUGCGUAGAGAUCCGGAAGAACACCGGUGGCGAAGGCGGCCCGCUGGGCAGUUGCUGACGCUGAGGCGCGACAGCGUGGGGAGCAAACAGGAUUAGAUACCCUAGUAGUCC
rnacentral:rRNA from 1 species